AUUUUCUGACCGAAAUAAUAAUUUGAAAUGUGCCUACCUCCUGCAAAUGGACGUAUUUGGCCGAGUUCUCCACUUUACUCCGCUGUUUAUCGGCGAUCUCGUCGACAUCCUACAAAAAAUGUAAAUCAUCUCAGACAUAAUGGUAUCAAGAACAUUUUAAACAAGUUUCAACUUGGUUUCAAGUAGAUCAUACCUGUUUAACCAUCGACAAGGUAAAUCCACAACUUUGUCCAAAUUCGGCGCCAUUUUGUCAUCCCAUGUCGCUUGUUAACAAUUCAGCCUUGUUGCUCUUCCAUCCAAGCCAUUUCCAUUCCACUAAUAAUAAAUUUAACCCUUUAUAACAGGAGGAAACUAAAAAUCUAAACAAAAUAUAAGAAAUACGCCAUUUUAUCACCAUGUAAAAUUUUGCUCACGAGUCUUUCAAAACAUUCCGUACAAAUAUCGCGUGACAAAGUAACAGGGACGUGACAGGAGGGUGUGAAUUAUUUCACGAAGAUAGAAGAAGGCUGCGUGAAAUAGACUAAAAGCUAAAUACAAUCAUACAAAUGUUUGUUUUAUUUCUUGUAGCGACAAAUAU